AUUAGACUUCGGGCUUUAACGGAAGAGCAUGUCUCAACCCAGGCGCUGGAGAGUAACAGAAGCUGUGCAUUCGGCUUUUCCAGAAUCAACUCUAUGAUCUUAUUGGACCAGACCAGCAGGUUCUGGUGUGGAUGCAGGUCAUGCAGGUGUGGAUGCAGGUGUGUGUAGUUUCCAUCUGUACCGGGAGCUGAUCCUGUGCCACAGUGGCCCAUACCCAAAUACCAUGGAAGAGAGCUGGUCUCCCAGGAGUGCAGACACACCUGUGAUUGCAGUGCAGGCAGAGCAUGAACAGUGAUGUCAAGAAGCCAAAUCCAGUUCUGUUUACUGGACAUUCAACCAUUCUCAACUCGGUCUUAAACAUCAUCCAUACAUAUAUAACACUCAAAAGAAGGACAGUGAUUCCAACCUGGCUUGACGUUCAAGAUGUGAUCUCUCAGCUUCCUGCUCCUUCUUUCAUAAAUACUUAACAAUUGCUGGAACCACAAGACAAAUAAAUCUUCUACUAUAA